CCAUUUAAUGCUGAGAGGACUCUAGCCUUGAAUCCUCAGAAGGACUGGACUAGGAAGGAUGUAUCCUCACUAGGAUGUGUGUUCUAUUUGAGAAGAAUUUGUAUGGGUGUAAUGUCUCAUGUUUAAUUCGUAGAAGACAGACAUGAGAGCUAUGAUGAUGUCACGAUGAGCGAACAGAACUCUGAUAUUAAAAAAGUGGACACACUAGAGCAUUAUGAUGACGUCAUCAUUAUUGGACAGAACUUUCAAGGUGUAACGAGUUUAAUCUAAUAGUCUCAGACAGUCAUGAGGAGAAUGAGAUGAAUGACACAAGCUGUGUUACACAUUACAAUGUGAGGUUUUAUUUCACAUGUGUAUCAGAGGGAGAUCAGGAGGAGUAUGAUGAUGUGAAGAACAGCAAUGAAGAUGAGAAACCUGUUAGGUAUGUUUUUGUCAUCUUUUUACAUAAUGUACUUUUAAUCAUUAUGUUGCUCAUUUAAACCCUAUUUAAACUAAAUUGUGAUGCAUUUAUAAAAAUGAACGUGAAUUUGCUUGUUUUUAAAAACAGACUAUGAUGAUGUGGGGGAGGAGUCAAAUAAAGAAGGAGGGGCCAUAUGACUCAAUGGCCACACCCUCUGCCUCUGUUCAUGAAAUCAUAUUACAGUUACUGGAGCUGCUGGGAGCUUCUCAUAUUGUUACUAAUGCAUCAGUGCCUUAUGUUUUUAUGUUAUUUUAAAUAUUUUUGUAUGAAAA